rnacentral:rRNA from 1 species
AUGGAUACCGUCUGGGAGUCUAAAUUUUCUAUGGUGUCUGUCCGUGCUCUACCUCAUAUCGAAGCUAUAUCAAACCACACACCCAUUCUCCUAACUACUGGUUUGCCACGACCACAACAUAGACGCAAGUUCAAGUUCGAACUUGGGUGGUUGCCUCAGGAUGGCUUCCAUGACAUGGUCAGGGUAUGGGCGAAACCGGUGGCCGGGUCUAUCCUAAUACACAGAUGGAAUAACAACAUGUGUGCAUUAUGUAAAUUUCUUGAUGGUUGGGCUAGGCAUACGGUGGGUAUCUUAAAAAAUGAGAACCUUCAUCUUUCAUCUAUCAUUAAUGAAUUAGAAGUUUUGACGGAGGUUGGACCUCUAUCUGAGCAUGAAAUCGAGAUCAAGAAUCAUUCCAAUGCACAUAUACCUAACAUGACACGUGAAGGGGAACUCAAAUGGUACCAAUAUUCUAUCUCUCAGUUUAUCCUGAAAUGUGAUUCAAAUACUAGAUAUUUCCAUAGAGUCGCCAAUGGCAGACACCGGAAGAAAAUUAUUCAUUCCUUGCAACAGGAUGAGAGCAUGAUUGAGGGGCAUGAGCAACUUAAAUCUUAUGUCACAUAUUAUUAUAAACAUUUGUUCGGAGCCCCAGAGGAAGAAAACUUCUCAAUGGAUGAGUCCCGGAAAGACGAGAUACCCCAGGUCUCUGAUGAGGAAAACAACCUUCUAACAACCCCAUAUAGCGAGGAGGAAGUUAGAAACUAGGCUUUCCUAAUGAAGCAUAACAAAACCCCAGGUACGAAUGGUUUUCCCCCUGAGUUCUAUCAUAACUUAUUGGAAGUCAUCACCGGAUCUCCUACUUUUGUUUAGUGACCUACAUGCUGGCCAACUAGAACUAUUUCCCUUAAAUUCGAUGAGAUUAUUUUAUUAUCUAAGGUUAAUGAGGCUGAAAGGAUACAACAUUAUAGACCUAUUUGCCUUAAUGUUAGUUUUAAAAUAUUCACGAAUGUUAAAGUAGAAUGGGUGGCACUCAAAAUAGACUUUGGAAAGGCUUAUGACAAAGUUAAGUGGCCGUUUCUUCAAAAGACUCUCAUAAUGAAAGGAUUUUCUGCAGAGUGGCGUGCUAUGAUCCAUAGCUUUGUUUUCGGAGGUAGUGUUGCCAUCAAGGUCAAUGAUGAUGUUGGACACUAUUUCCAAACGAAGAAGGGAUUGUGACAAGGUGACUCAUUAUUGCCCAUGCUAUUCAAUAUAGUGACAUAUAUGCUAGCAGUCAUGAUUGAGCGUGCCAAGGUUUAUGGCCAAAUUGAUGGGGUAGUAAAUCAUCUAGUCGAUCCUGGUCUCUCUAUACUUCAAUAUACCGAUGCUAUGAUUCUCUUUAUGGAUCAUGACCUCGAGAAAGAGAGAAAUUUGAAACUAAUUUUAUCAGCAUGGCGAGUGAAUUGUUUUUUGCUUCGGCGAGGCUCAAGACGAGGCCCACCUGCACGUUGA